UACGAAGGGGGCUAGCGUUGCUCGGAAUCACUGGGCGUAAAGCGCACGUAGGCGGGUCCUUAAGUCAGGGGUGAAAUCCCGGAGCUCAACUCCGGAACUGCCUUUGAUACUGGGGAUCUUGAGUCCGGAAGAGGUGAGUGGAACUCCGAGUGUAGAGGUGAAAUUCGUAGAUAUUCGCAAGAACACCAGUGGCGAAGGCGGCUCACUGGCCCGAUACUGACGCUGAGGUGCGAAAGCGUGGGGAGCAAACAGG
rnacentral:rRNA from 1 species